UACGUAGGUGGCAAGCGUUGUCCGGAUUUACUGGGUGUAAAGGGCGUGUAGCCGGGCUGACAAGUCAGAUGUGAAAUUCCGGGGCUCAACCCCGGACCUGCAUUUGAAACUGUUGGUCUUGAGUAUCGGAGAGGCAGGCGGAAUUCCUAGUGUAGCGGUGAAAUGCGUAGAUAUAUGGAGGAACACCGGUGGCGAAAGCGGCUCUCUGGCCUGUAACUGACACUGAGGCUCGAAAGCGUGGGGAGCAAACAGG
rnacentral:rRNA from 1 species